rnacentral:rRNA from 1 species
AUCCAGACUCCUACGGGAGGCAGCAGUGGGGAAUAUUGCACAAUGGGGGAAACCCUGAUGCAGCGACGCCGCGUGAGCGAUGAAGUAUUUCGGUAUGUAAAGCUCUAUCAGCAGGGAAGAAGAUGACGGUACCUGACUAAGAAGCCCCGGCUAACUACGUGCCAGCAGCCGCGGUAAUACGUAGGGGGCAAGCGUUAUCCGGAUUUACUGGGUGUAAAGGGAGCGUAGACGGCGAUGCAAGCCAGAUGUGAAAGCCCGGGGCUCAACCCCGGGACUGCAUUUGGAACUGUGUGGCUGGAGUGUCGGAGAGGCAGGCGGAAUUCCUAGUGUAGCGGUGAAAUGCGUAGAUAUUAGGAGGAACACCAGUGGCGAAGGCGGCCUGCUGGACGAUGACUGACGUUGAGGCUCGAAAGCGUGGGGAGCAAACAGGAUUAGAUACCCCAGUAGG